rnacentral:rRNA from 1 species
ACAGAGGCGGCAAGCGUUGUUCGGAGUUACUGGGCGUAAAGGGCGUGCAGGCGGUUGGCUAAGUUCGUUGUGAAAGCGCCCAGGCUUAACCGGGUGAGGACAAUGAAGACUGGUCAGCUAGAGGACGGUAGAGGGGUGUGGAAUUCCGGGUGUAGUGGUGAAAUGCGUAGAGAUCCGGAGGAACACCAGUGGCGAAGGCGACACGCUGGGCCUGGCCUGACGCUCAGACGCGAAAGCAUGGGGAGCGAACGG